rnacentral:rRNA from 1 species
AACGAACGCUGGCGGCAUGCCUAACACAUGCAAGUCGAGCGAGGACUUCGGGUCUAGCGGCGGACGGGUGCGUAACGCGUGGGAAUGUGCCCUUCUCUACGGAAUAGCUCUGGGAAACUGGUAGUAAUACCGUAUACGCUCUAUUGGGGAAAGAUUUAUCGGCGUAGGAUGGGCCCGCGUUGGAUUAGGUAGUUGGUGGGGUAAUGGCCUACCAAGCCGACGAUCCAUAGCUGGUUUGAGAGGAUGAUCAGCCACACUGGGACUGAGACACGGCCCAGACUCCUACGGGAGGCAGCAGUGGGGAAUAUUGGACAAUGGGCGAAAGCCUGAUCCAGCAAUGCCGCGUGAGUGAUGAAGGCCUUAGGGUUGUAAAGCUCUUUUAGCCGGGAUGAUAAUGACAGUACCGGGAGAAGAAGCCCCGGCUAACUCCGUG